AAAGACUCUGUUCCGCAGAGUAGCUGUUGACAUUAUAGUUGCGCAGGCACUUUGUUGACUCUAGAGAACCUCGGGCCAAUCGCACAUCCCCGUGGUGGCGACUUUGCAUGCGGAUGUUAUCCAUAUCAACUGUCGAUGCCAGUUUCUGCGCCUACCAUGGUGACCAUGGGUAACAGGGAAUCAGGGUUCCAUUCCUUACAGGGACCCUGAGAAACGGCUACCACAUGCAAGGAAGGCAGCGGGCGUGCAAAUGACCCACUCCCGACGCGGGAAGAUAGUGAU
rnacentral:rRNA from 1 species